UUGGACUUAGAUAUUGAAGCAGUACUGCAACUUGUCAACAGAGUUGCCUUGUUUAUCCCAUUGAGAGGAAGCAUAUUCUCUUGGGUAAAUUACUAUUGACUCGUUCUGAUUAUUAGCAUCCUCAUGGCAUUCUUUUCCCCUGAUUUAUCAAUGGACCAUAUAAAUGCAUGUAGAAUUUGGCAGAGUUGCUCUCAUCUCAAAACUCGUUGAAUGAACACAUGGAGCCUGGAUGUUAUUUUCAAUGCCAACCCUAUCACAGUUUUCAUUCUUAAGCUAGAUUGAUGUUUACCCCACAGAGGAACCCAACAUAAACACCUGGAAAAAAAGAAUCCAAAUGAUUUUGCUUUAGUUGGAAAAUUCAAAAUGAAAAGUUGGUUUCAUGGUACAGCUAUUUGACUUGAUUGUUACAUCAGUUUGGGCUAAAACUUGAAUCAAUUUUCCCUUUUUGCAAUUAAAAUUCCAGAGUUCUACUCUGUUUUAGAAUUGGUUUGUACAUUGGUUCUGAUGUGAUGAUAUCCAUCAAGUUCAAGAUUCGAAGCUUAGUAAUUAAAAUAAUUUUCUGUAAUCCUAAACUAUGAUCUACUAUAAGAAAAAAACACAAAUUAUACAACUCUGAUUAUUUUAAAUUGCAGUAAUUACACAAAUUCAGGUCCAUUAGCAUUACAAAUUAGCUAGUGAUAGAUGUUGCUAGCUUGUAUCCACAAUUUUUCUUCUUACCAUUCAAAAAGUCACUUUCAAUCUCAUCCCCAUUUAAUAAAGUCACUUUUUCUUCUUACCAUUCAAAAAGUAGAAGCAAAAGCAAAGCUCCCACGGUUUAUUUGUGGUCUUUUUCCUCAAUCUCACAAUCCAUAUACUUUCAUGGCGUCUUCUUCAUCUUCUUCUCGUCAAAUGAUGCAUCAAGUUUUCUUAAGCACCAAGGGCCCGGUCUGACGGAAUUGAUGCAUAAUGACACAUAAUGACUAUGUCUUAGUUAUAAUGUAGAAUCCGCUCAAGGUUUAUGACUUAGUUAAAUCCUUAAUGCAUUGAUUUGAAAAAAUAAAAACAAAAGAAAAGAAAACACUUUUUGUAUGUAAAAAUUCCUAAAAGUGCUCAAUUAGUCUAUGCCUAUCCUAAUAUAAUUAUUUUUUUAUGAGUUAUUUAAUGGAAUGUCUAUAAAUUUUUUCGGGAUAAUAUUUGAUAAAUUAAUUUUUGUUAUCAGAGAACUGAUCGAAUUCAAGGAAUAAAGUUAGACAUGUCACAUAUGGAUAACCUAUUAUUCUAACCUUUUGUUUUUGAAAACAUGAUUAAUCUUAGAUAUAUUUUCUUCUAUUCUCCUUAGAAUUUGUUGUGAAAAGAGCAUAAGUAUUAUAAGAAGCUACUUACAUACCAAGUUGAUAUUAUAUCUCUUCUGGAUGAGCUAAGGUAUCUUCAAUGGGAUUAUUACCCCUUCAAAUCUUAUCACCAAAUUUUAAUCCAAAAAACCUUGUUGUAUCGAGAUUAGCACAUGAAAAUAUGGAACAAAUUUGGAACGAAGGUCAUCAAGUAUAUAUACUUUUAUACUUUCUUCAUCCAAUAAUUUUUUAAGAAAAAUAAUUUAUAAUUGAUAUAACAUUUAAUCUUAUGAUAACAUAUUUUUAUUAAUUUUUUAAAAUAUAUAUAAAAGAUUUUAUUCUAUUUUUUUAUAAGAAGCAAUUUGAUAUUGAUGGUGGGUGAAUUAAUACACCCAAUACAUCAAAUAUAAAUUUUUAUUUUGAUAGAGUCUAAGUAAAUGAUGCUCUAACUACUUUAUAUUCUCAUCAUGUGCAGGAUCUUGUUCAUUUAUGGAAAAUUAAACUUUUUAGUUGCAAAAAUUUAAAGAAGAUCCCUAAUUUAAUAGGAGCCCUCAACCUUGAAAGACUUGACUGUGAAAAAUGCAAAAGUUUGGUUGAACUUCCUUGCCUCAACCAUUUGACAUCACUUAAAACCCUUCACCUUAAGGGAUGUCGUAGUCUCAAGAAGUUUCCGGAGAUCCCAAAUAAAUUUUAUGAGUUAGAUUUAUCAGAAACCGGAAUAAAAGAAGUACCUGAUUUCAUUGAGCAUCUCGACAAACUUCAACGGUUGACCUUGACAAACUCAAUGGUAAAAGAUGUAUCAAGCAAUAUUUCAAAGUUGAAAUCCCUUUCUUCUCUACAUCUUAGUGGUUGUGUAAUCGUUAAAUUUCCAAUUGUUGAUGUGCGCUCACCAAGCUUAAGGUUCAAAAGCCUUAUGUGUAAGCAUAUGGAUCGUUGCAAGAGCCUCAAAUUACUCUCAGAGCUUCCACCAUAUCUGCUCGACUUGAAUGUACAUGACUGCACGUCAUUAGAAAAAGUUCCCUUUGCAGAUCAAAAUUUAUAUCAGUUUGGUUCGUUAGGUGAUGAAGGUGAUGGUGUGUUUUGCAUGUUAUUCUGUAAUUGCUUCAACUUGAAUCAAGAAUCAACUAAUAACAUUGAGGCAAAUGCCAUGCUCAAAAUUGGAUCCCUAGCUAAGGAACGGGCAGCGACAUAUGGUAGGAAAUACCUGGGUGAUAUCCUUCCAAGUUUGAUUUGUUGUUUCCCAAGAAACAAAAUUUCAACAAAUAAGUUCAAGUAUCAGAGUAUGAAUUCUUCCUUAAGUUUGAAGAUAGCCCCAAAUGGGGGUGGUGGGAGCAGAUUUUUGGUUUUUGUUAUCUGCCUUGUGGCUGAUCUCGCUCACUGCCCUCGCUUGAGAAGUCUUAAAUGUAUUUGUGGCUACUAACUUACAGCCGCUGAUGGUGGUUAUGAAAAGUUCAAAAGUACCAUAUCUUUCUUGGAUGCUUCUGAGUCAGAGAAAUGCAUGGGUGAUCACGUGUUUAUUCUAUCUAGCAUCAAAAUGGUUAAAAGAGACGAGAAUUAUGAGGAGGCAUCAUUUGAUUUCUACAUCAAAAAUUUCCAUCAUUAUGAAGAAGCAGCAGAAAAAUUAUCAAGGUGGAGAGAUGUGGUGUUCUUGUAUUUUACGUAGAUGCAGAGAGUGAUGCUGAUGCUACAGAAAUGAGACCUGCCGAGACCAAAAGAAGCUUUAGCCAUGAUGGUGAAGAAGGGGAUGGAGGCCAUAAACGAUUUCAAUAGUUUUUAUUUCCUUUCAUUUUUGGCUCUGGUUUUCAGAAGUUACAACUUCUCAAUCAUGUCAUCCAAAUACAUAAAGGGGUUUUCAUCUCAUUCUUUCAUAUUACUCGAUUUUUUAUUUCAUUUUUCAUAUUGCCAUAUUUUUGUUUUUCAUAGGUGUUAAAACUAAAUUUUCAACUUUUAAAUUAAUUGCCUAUGAUAGAAAAUGAAGUGCUUUACUUAAUUAAAACCAACCAGGAUGAAUCUAACUUGCUCUGUUUAAAGUGUUAAGAGUAUAGAUAAAGACUCUAUUAGUCUAUUAGUUGUUAGUUUGUUAUACAAGCAGUUAUGCUGUUAAGUGAGAUUGUUAGCAGCAGUUACUCAUACACAUUUUAUAAAUACUAUAGUUGUACUGGUUAAAUUCAAGAUAAUAAUACAAAAAUCAUUCUCUGCAUAUUCUAUUUUUCUUUCAAGUUUUUGUAGAUAUUAACAUGGUAAACGUCGGACAACAAUGAUUGACAGAGGCAGCAACAUAUUCACUUGAUUAUUGAAGGUUAUGAAUUGACUGGUUUUUUUUGGAGGGAACGUUACCUGGUCUGCCGCAUUUUGUGCUGUCUUUGGAGGGAUCUCUAGUUCCAAAUCCGGAUGCCUCAGCAUUCUUUCAGCAGGAUAGGUUACUUGCCUCUUUCUGGUUAUUUUCUACUAUUAGUCCUUCACUGUUGUCUUCUUUUACAUAUGCUAGGAUGGCGUGCGAUGUUUGGAACACUGCCACUUGCCUCUUCACUACCGUCACAGGUGUCAAGUUAUCUUGCAUUCGCCAUGAUUUACACUCGCUUAAGAAAGGUAAUCUGUCGAUAAUGGAGUAGGUAGUAAAGAUUCAGAAUACCUGUGCUUUAAUCGAGGCUUGUCGAUCUUGGAUCUCGGAGGCAGAGAAAGUGGAUAUCGUACUUGUGGGCCUACCACCGGAGUUCAACGCCAUGCUCACCUUAGCGUCAUUCUUGUCGGAAGCCUUACCGUUACAACACCGCAUGGAUGAGAUGUUGGAGUAUGGAAGUCGCUAAAUUCGCGUGGUUCAGGAGGUGCCGUUUCAUGCUAACCUUUUGGAGACUAUUCCGUCACCGCCGGUGGUGGACUCUGUGCGUGUUGGCCGUCCCCUACUGGUGGUUGUGGGAAGAGGUUUCGAUCCAAACUCCAAUGUUAGAUCUGUGGUCAGUUUGGGCAUUAGCUCAACGUUUUUAAUAUUGUCAUAAUCGCGACUACAGUGGUCUGACAUUAGCGGCCUGGGCUUCAAAUUCGGCCGAUCGUACUAGGCAGGGUUCGGAUGUUGGUUUCUCAUUUCUAUCGCCCGCCUCUAGUCAGUUUGGUGGCCUUUCGUAGACGGCGCCAUCACGAUUUCUUUCUGGUAAAUGGUAGGGUGGUCACUUGUCUACUGCGCCUCCCCUGUAUAUGUCAUACACUAGGGUUUUUAACCCCUUUUUUUUUGCGUUUGAUGAUGGAGCAGGCCUACCGCUUGGGCAUUAUGCUGGGUUAAGCCAACCAUUUGGGCUUGGUCAUGAGUAGCGGUUUGAGCCUGGUCAUGAGGCAGUUCACUGGGUUAGGUCCGUAUUUUGGGCUUGUAACUGGGUUCACUCGGCCAUUGGCCAAAAUCUUGGGCCGUCUGUGCGUGGUAGGCCAUCUGGCCCAUGCUAGGACUUUAGGGGUGAUUUUUCUCCAGUUGGGUCCACUGCUAAUGUUUCUCCAAAUGGGCCAACAUUUAAUUGUGUGGAGUUUACAAGCCCUCGUGGUCGUGUACGAGGGCUUGAGCCUUCAGAUGGUGGUGUUUGUACUACGUUUGGGUCAUAUAAUGGGUUGUGUAUUCCCUGGCAGACAAAAAUAAGAGCUCGUGUUUAUAUUGGGUCAGAUCCAUGCAUUGGAUUGCCUCGAAUUCCUGAUUUACAUACGUCUAAUGUCUCUAACUCUACUGGGUCUAAUAUUAAUGCCACUCAUUUUGGGUCCAAUUUUGAUAAUGAUGAUUCGUAUAUUCCUAUACCUAUAGGAACUUCGUCUUGGUAUCUGGAUUCAGGGGCAAUGCCUCUGCUUUGAAUGAGUCUACACCAUACUCAAGUACAUUCCCUCUCUUAAUAGGUGAUGGGACUCCUAUGCUUGUAGGAACUUCACUUAUUUUUUAUGUAAAUUUUUAUAAAUAUAUUUGUUACGUAACUAUGUUAUUUGAAUGUGCUAGUGUCACGGGCCAAAGUCUAAAGCCCGUGACCAUGACACAAGAUGUGCCCCAUGGAGUUCAUCAAUUAAAUAGGGAACAUUUAGCCCACGAGAACUGGCUCGAUUCAAAGAAUUGUUGGAGAAGCCUGUCAGAUUGAAGCCUGGUUGGCCCGAUAAUGAAGACAUGGCAACUUAGGCUAAUUUUGGUAACUAAUCUUAGAAGAUAGAGAGAAUCAUAUCUUGCAAAGAUUAGAUUAGAUUUGAUAUGACAAAUAUUGUAAAUCCCUAAAAUUAAGGGAUAUGGUUAAUCUCGUCCGUUGAUGUAAAUGUAUCUUGAUCGUCGAUUUUAGGGGAGCUCAACUAUAAAUAGAGAGCCUCCCCUCAUUUGUACUCAUCCAUUGUAAGAUUGAAUUCUUAAAAGUAAUAGAAUUCAGAGAGCAUUUAUUCAAACACCUUGGGUGUGUUCUUUUCUGUGA
rnacentral:lncRNA from 1 species